GCAUAUCAAUAAGCGGAGGAAAAGAAACCAACAGGGAUUGCCCCAGUAACGGCGAGUGAAGCGGCAACAGCUCAAAUUUGAAAUCUGGCCCCCAGGGCCCGAGUUGUAAUUUGCAGAGGAUGCUUUUGGCGCGGCGCCUUCCGAGUUCCCUGGAACGGGACGCCAUAGAGGGUGAGAGCCCCGUCUGGUCGGACGCCAAGCCAGUGUAAAGCUCCUUCGACGAGUCGAGUAGUUUGGGAAUGCUGCUCUAAAUGGGAGGUAUAUGUCUUCUAAAGCUAAAUAUAGGCCAGAGACCGAUAGCGCACAAGUAGAGUGAUCGAAAGAUGAAAAGCACUUUGAAAAGAGGGUUAAACAGUACGUGAAAUUGUUGAAAGGGAAGCACUUGUGACCAGACUUGGGCCCGGUGAAUCAUCCAGCGUUCUCGCUGGUGCACUUCGCCGGGCCCAGGCCAGCAUCAGUUCGCCGCGGGGGAUAAAAGCUUCGGGAACGUAGCUCCCUCGGGAGUGUUAUAGCCCGUUGCAUAAUACCCUGCGGUGGACUGAGGUUCGCGCUCCGCAAGGAUGCUGGCGUAAUGGUCACCAGUGACCCGUCUUGAAACACGGACCAAGGAGUCGUCUUCGUAUGCGAGUGUUCGGGUGUCAAACCCCUACGCGUAAUGAAAGUGAACGCAGGUGAGAGCUUCGGCGCAUCAUCGACCGAUCCUGAUGUUCUCGGAUGGAUUUGAGUAAGAGCAUACGGGGCCGGACCCGAAAGAAGGUGAACUAUGCCUGUAUAGGGUGAAGCCAGAGGAAACUCUGGUGGAGGCUCGCAGCGGUUCUGACGUGCAAAUCGAUCGUCAAAUAUGGGCAUGGGGGGCGAAAGACUAAUCGAACCUUCUAGUAGCUGGUUUCCGCCGAAGUUNCCCCUCAGGAA
rnacentral:rRNA from 1 species